GCAAAAAGUUAUUUUACAGCUUAUUUACCAAACACUACUCUGCUGCUUAAAUCUAUAAUCUCACAACUACACCAAACAGGUUACCAGCUUGUGCUCACAGCUAUAAGCUAUAAUUUGUUAAGUUAUAUUCUAUAAUUACUUUCCUACAGCUCUACCAAAAGGGUGUUGUCUGGUGCUGUAAUUGCUUACAACCCACUAUAAGAAAAGAGGGUAUAGAACACGGAAACAUUUGCGACGACACCAUUUACUGUCACAAAAAGUGAGUUUUUGCGACGGCACCACUUGCCGUCGCCAAUAAAUCGGAUUUCAGCGACGACACCAUUUCCCGUCGCAAAUGAACAAGUUUUUGCGACGGCAACGACAGUCGCAAAUAAUUCAAGUGUUUUGAGACAGCAACCCUUGUUGUCACAAAUAAAGAUAUUUUUGCGACGGUAUGAAACUUGACGUCACAAAAAAAAAACCCCCCAAAAUCUGGGCUUAGCUAUUUUUUUCCCCCCCUUAACCAAAAAUCCCUAAUCUUCCCCCCCUUGAACCAAAAAUCCCUAAUCUUUCCCCAUCUCCUCUCUCUCUCUCUCUUCCCCCCCUUCCAAGCCAAAAAUCCCUAAUCUUUCCCCAUCUCUUCUUACGACUCUCUCUCUCUCUUGACGGCGAGCAGCGUGCGACGGCGGUGAGCCAGCAACGAUGGUGCGGCGUCUCUCUUCAACUCUCUCAGUCAGUCUCAAUCUCUGAACCAGGUGUUUCUGGUACCAGUCUUCUCAAUGCUGUCAAUUUGAUUGCUUAUAAUGUGUUCUACACUAGUAUCCCUGUUUCAGUCAGUCUCGUGGACAAAGAUCUUAGUGAAGGAACUGUGAUGCAGCACCCACAGAUUUUAUAUUACUGCCAAGCAGGGAGGUUAGGAUUUUUCUGCACUUAAUCCACAUGAUUCUUUUUCUUGCAUGAUUACAACAAAGAGAUGGCAUGGACAGUGAUAUAUUAGGACUUGCCUCUUUGAAUAUGUAUCAUCACUUUAUUAUAUUUGAUGCCUUCUUUAUUGUUCCACCAAUAUGGUCCCACAAUCUAUGGUGCUGGAGUCCACUAGCUACUUAAUUUAAGAAUCUAAAGCCCUUUUCUUAUGAGUUGUUGAGAUGUGCCAUUUUCUAAUUAGACUAGAUCAAUGGUAGCCUUGAAGAUUUGGCACCAUUUCACCCAUCAGAAACAAUUGUCUUCCUAUCUAAAAAGGUAACUUUAAACAAAAUGUGAACACAAAAUCCUAUUGUCCAUCCUCCUUCAUGGGUUUCCCGACCGCAUUGUCUCUGAUGCCAUUGACAAAUAUUAGUUUUCUGCGAUAACCAUGAGACCACAUCUUCAGGUAGGCUGAAAAGCCAUACUUGCUUUUGAUCUGAAUAGCAGCAGGGGCAUAUUAUUAAUAAGUAAUUAAAUAACAACAAGCACCUUUCGAUUAAUCAAAUCCAACGUGCUUUGGAUGCAACUCAAUUCAAAUUCUUGUCUGGCAAUUCUUUUCUUGUUUAGUGGUCUUUUCUUGCCAAGAAAUUUAGCAAUAGGCUUGAAUUUGAACCAUCUGUUGGUCUGCAAAACUUUAUCCUCUUUAUUUAUCUUCUCUGUAUAUUCUUACAAAUGCUCAAUUCUUUUUCUAAUUUCUCUAAUACUCGAAAUUUCAACAGAAAAUGGGUAGCAAUAUUGUGGGUAGCAAUAUUGUGUUCUCUGUGAAACGAUUGAUCUUUGUCAUCUUCUCCUCCUUCGUGAAGAAACGAACAGAAAACCCUAUUUUCAUGAUGAUAGAUAAGAUAGGGUUUGCAGAGGAGUUAGGGAUUUUAGGAACGGUUAAGCUGUGAUGAUUUCUAUACAAUAUAUAUAAAGCGGAAUUUUAGGAACAGUAAAGCUGUGAUGAUUUUUAUAUCUAUACAAUCUAUAUAAAGCAUGGAGCCAAAUAUGAACAGUAUUUUUUGAAUGGUUAAAAAGUCGAUUUUGCCCUUGUGCUUUCAAAAUUUGUUUGCUUAUAGUUGUUUAUGAAAAGAUCCAUAGUAUACCCUCUCUCUCUAUAUAUCCUCAAAACAUCCAAAGAGAAUACUAGACUUAUAAAGGCGUCCAAAAACUUUCACAGCUUCACAUCUAGUUCAAUUGACACAAAACAAAAAAAGAGAGCCUAGUUUUCAUAAUAAAUUCACUCAACAAAGUUUAUUGAUCAAUUCAAAUGAACAAUAUAAUUUAUAUCAAUAUCACCAAAAUCACAACCAAAAAAUAGAAAUAAAUCCCUUUUUUUUUCUUUUUUUUUUUUCAAGAGUAGUACCCUAAUCUCUACUUCUAGUAGAAACCUAUUUAGUACAUACAAAUUCUAGCUUUAAGAGUCAAUUCCAAAAAAACCUAAUAAUUAGUACGUACAUACAAUUUUCAGAAGUGAAAGGAUUCUUACUUAUUUAUUUAUUUAUUUUUUUGGGGGGGGAAGGAGGCUCAUUGUCUGAUCCAAAUCAUCUCCGGAAACAAUUGCCUAUACCAUCCACUAAAUAUAAAAGGAAGUGCUAGAAAAAAGUUCAAAAAAGUUGGGCAAUAACCAAUCAGUUGUAUUUUAUUGAAUUAGUAAUGACUUAAAUUUCCUAAACCAAUCAAUUAACUUUGGCAAUAACCAUACAAUUACAUAACCAUGUGAACAAAGGAAGAGAAUAGAAGAGAGAGAGAGGAGGAGGGUUCUCUAAGAGGGAUAUAGAGAGAGAGAGUGGGUAUACUAUGGAUCUUUUCAUAAACAACUGUAAGCAAACAAAUUUUGAAGUCAGUUAUAAA